UACGUAGGGUGCAAGCGUUGUCCGGAAUUAUUGGGCGUAAAGAGCUCGUAGGCGGUUCGUCGCGUCGGCUGUGAAAUCCCGAGGCUCAACCUCGGGCUUGCAGUGGGUACGGGCAGACUAGAGUGCGGUAGGGGUGACUGGAAUUCCUGGUGUAGCGGUGGAAUGCGCAGAUAUCAGGAGGAACACCGAUGGCGAAGGCAGGUCACUGGGCCGCAACUGACGCUGAGGAGCGAAAGCAUGGGGAGCGAACAGG
rnacentral:rRNA from 1 species